AUACGUAGGGGGCGAGCGUUGUCCGGAAUGAUUGGGCGUAAAGGGCGCGUAGGCGGCCCGGUAAGUCUGGAGUGAAAGUCCUGUUUUUAAGAUGGGAAUUGCUUUGGAUACUGUCGGGCUUGAGUGCUGGAGAGGUAAGUGGAAUUCCCAGUGUAGCGGUUAAAUGCGUAGAGAUUGGGAGGAACACCAGUGGCGAAGGCGACUUACUGGACUGUAACUGACGCUGAGGCGCGAAAGUGUGGGGAGCAAACAGGAUUAGAUACCCUGGUAGUCCACACUGUAAACGAUGAAUGCUAGGUGUAGGGGGUAUCGACCCCUUCUGUGCCGCAGUCAACACAAUAAGCAUUCCGCCUGGGGAGUACGGCCGCAAGGUUGAAACUCAAAUGAAUUGACGGGG
rnacentral:rRNA from 1 species